GACGAACGCUGGCGGCGUGCUUAACACAUGCAAGUCGAACGGAAAGGCCCUGCUUUUGUGGGGUGCUCGAGUGGCGAACGGGUGAGUAACACGUGAGUAACCUGCCCUUGACUUUGGGAUAACUUCAGGAAACUGGGGCUAAUACCGGAUAGGAGCUCCUGCUGCAUGGUGGGGGUUGGAAAGUUUCGGCGGUUGGGGAUGGACUCGCGGCUUAUCAGCUUGUUGGUGGGGUAGUGGCUUACCAAGGCUUUGACGAGUAGCCGGCCUGAGAGGGUGACCGGCCACAUUGGGACUGAGAUACGGCCCAGACUCCUACGGGCGGCAGCAGUGGGGAAUAUUGCACAAUGGGCGGAAGCCUGAUGCAGCAACGCCGCGUGCGGGAUGACGGCCUUCGGGCUGUAAACCGCUUUCGCCUGUGACGAAGCGUGAGUGACGGUAAUGGGUAAAGAAGCACCGGCUAACUACGUG
rnacentral:rRNA from 1 species